GAGUUUGAUUCUGGCUCAGGAUGAACGCUAGCGGAACGCCUAACACAUGCAAGUCGAACGGAGUCUGCGUUGUAGCAAUACAUAGUAGAUUUAGUGGCAAACGAGCGAGUAACGCGUGCUUAACCUGCCCCCGAGAUGAGAAUAACUGCAGAGAUGUAGCUAAUCCUCAAUAUGCUCACGAUGGUGAAAUUCCAAUGUGAGGAAAGAUUUAUCGCUCGGGGAGGGGAGUGCGUCCUAUCAGGUAGUUGGUUGAGGUAAUGGCUCACCAAGCCGAUGACGGGUAGCCGGUCUGAGAUGAUGUCCGGCCGCGAUGGGACUGAGAUACGGCCCAUACUCCUACGGGAGGCAGCAGUGGGGAAUCUUGCACAAUGGACGAAAGUCUGAUGCAGCGAUCCCGCGUGAAGGAUGAAGCAUUACGGUGUGUAAACUUCUUUUUUGGUGGAAGACGAAU
rnacentral:rRNA from 1 species